AGGAUCAAGUAAACACAACAAUCCAUGACAAGCACCAUAAACAGAGGGGCGAUCAUUCUUAAAAAAGGGCAAGUGAAUGUUUUGUUUUACUAUAUAAUUUUGAUAUUUUUCAUUUGAAAGUUGAGAGAAAUAACGUUGGAAGGUGUUACCAUCACAGCGACUAAGCAGUAGAUUAAGGUUGUUGUUUUCAAGGUUGUUGUGAUAAUUAUUGGAAAUGAAAUGAGGAGUUUGAAAAGAAGAACACCAAUACUUACAAACACAGUUGAAGCGAGUAAGGGAUUUAACUGGCAGCUUUGACAGAAUUUCCAUAACCAAAGCUUCUGGCAAUUCAAACCUUGGCCUCUGCAUCUUGCUAUUUUGAUUUUCUUUGUAAUUGGGUAAGAGGAAUGAAUAAAAUGGGAGUUGGUAGGUGUCAUCUAUGGUCCAAACCUUAACCAGGAAGCAAAGAAGCAUAAAAGGUAAGCAUUUGAUAGGUUAUAAUAAUUAUAUGGAAUUUAGGAAAAUUUACUUAUUUGCAUUUGUAUCCAUGUGAGGAAGGAUUAAGAUCAAAUAUAAUAUAAUACGUACUUUUUGAAUUUAAUCCCCAAUUUUUAAAAGAAUAAAUUUAAAGGAUAUCACAUUUAUUUACUUUUUGUAUAUUUGAAAUUUAAUACUUAAUUUUUAUUUUAAAGAAUUCAAUCUCUCUAUUUUUUAAAAGCCAAAAACAGUGAUGUAGUUUUUUUUUUCACACGGCAAUCAAAAAAAAAAAUUUAAAGGUAGUUUUUUUUUCUCGUUUCUGCUCUUUUUCUUUUUUUCGUCUGUUCUAUUUUACUUGCGUUUUUUUUUUUGAGUUUUUUCUUUUCUUCUUUCGACAUACAUAUAUCUACAUUUUUUUAAAAAAAAGAACAGUUUAUAUAUAUACAUACACAAAAAAAUAAAAAUAAAAAAACUCACCUUUGAACUUUCCGGACUCGGCUACGUCGGCCGGUGCGGCGGAGACAAGGCGGCCCUUUGGCCGGAAUCUGGAUUUCAUCCAGAGAAAAGAGACCCCCUUUUCCCUUUUUUUGGUUUCUUUACAGACUGCCGGGAAUGAUUUCUUUUCCUCAAAAGUUGUCUUUUAUAGCCCCCCCCCCAACACCCCAGCAAAACGAUGUCGUUUUGGUUGGCGUACUUGAGCAAGAAACGACGUCGUUUUGGCCUUAGGAUCCGCUUGUGACCCGACCCGCAAAGAGGAUCCGCGUGUCACCAUUUAGGGGGAUAUCUUCACAAUUGGUGCCUCCACUUUUGUCUCGCUUUCAAUGUAGUUUUUUCAUAUAUUUUUAAUUUUGGCUACAUAAUUUUUCGUCUGUUUUAAUUUGGUCCCCAGACCAUGCACACGCGCCUCACUAGAACGAUGCCGUUUGGUCAGUUAGGGAGUAUUUCCGUUUUUGCUCCUCUUCCUUUCACGCGUGUUGUGAUUUAGUCCUUUUUGUGCUUUUUAUUGUUAAUUUCGACCCUAAAACCUUGUUUAUUUUCAAUUUAAUCCUUAAUCUGCUAUUUUAGUUAUUUUUCCUGUUAAAUUAAUUAUUUUAACAUUAUUAAAACUAUUAUAUUGCAUAAUUAUUAUUUAUUAUUAAUAUUAUUAUCCUUAUCUCGUUUGUACCUUUUUAUUCUAAAAUUUUGUUAUAUAUAUAUAUACAUAUCCGCAUAUGCUUUUCUAAUAUAUAUAUGUAUAUUUUUAAGGUUAUUAUAAAUAUACUUUUAUAUUUCAUUUUUUAUACUUAUAUCUAUAUCCACGUAUUUUAAUUUAUAUACAUAUAGAUUUUAUAUAUACUUAUUAUAAUUUUUUUAUUGUCAUAAAUACAUACACAUGUACACAUACUUUUAUAUGUUCUUCUAUAUUCCAUAAUUCUUAUAUACAUCCAUAUACAUAUGUAUAUUUUAAUCUACAUACAUAUAUGUAUAUAUACACAUACGACAUAUAUUUCUAUUUUAUAAUUUUAAAAUAAAUAUAUAUAUAUCUAUAUAUUCUUCUUAUUUUUAUAUACACAUGCAUAUAUUUUAUAUUUCCUUUAUUGUUUCGUUGUUUCGCGUAAUGUCAACCUUUUUAUGCCUAUUUUAUUUUAAAAGCAUUUUAAUUCGACUCUUUUAUUUACUAUUUAUCUUACAUUAAUUAAUUUGUCUCUGUAUUUAUUUUGCUACGUACAAAAUCGUGCUACAUUUUACCCGAUUCAUUAAAAAUGAUGUUUUAAACAAGCAAUAUUCAUAUUUUGAAAUUCGAAAAGUCGUUCCCUAACUUACGGGGUUUCGACUUUCUAAAAAAAAUCCAAAUACCGAACAUUUUUAAGCAUAAAUUUUAAAUAAUCUCAAGAAUUACUAAAAGAUCGUGUUCUAACUUAGGGAAUAUGAUUUUUUUCUAAAACCGAUAUAGUCAAACAUCUUUUAAAAUAAAUUUUUCGGCGUUUAUUUGUGCAUCAAGAAUUUAAGACAUUGUGUCCUAAUUCACGGGACGCGAUUCAUUUUCUCGAUUAACGUAAAAUAUGUCCAUUUGUCAACUUUUUAAUAUUUUAACAAGGGAUCGUAUUUUAAAUCUCUUUAAAGUUUUCAAUUUUUGACGAGACACUAAUUAAUCAACUAAGUACCAAUUUUGGGCGCGGGGGUGCUAAUUAGAGGUGAUCAUGGGUUGGGCAGUCCGGCCCGGCCCGAUGGCCCACCCAAAAUAUGAGAGGGUUUGGGUAAAAAUAUAGGCCCGAAAUAUGGGUUUGGGCAAAAAAUGAGGCCCGUUGGCAAAACUUUUUUGGUCCAGGCCUGGCCCGAAUAUAUAAUAAAUAUAUAUUUUUAUUUUUAAAAUACAUUUUCCAUUUCCCCAUUUCCCCAUUUCCCAUUAGACAUUUAGUAUUUAUAUAAUAAAUAUAUAUUUUUUAUUUUUUAAUUUUAAAGUAUUUUUAAAAUACUUCUUUUAUUUUUUAUUUUUAAGAUACAAUUUUGUUGUUUAUUAAAAAAAGGGUCGGGCUCGGGCUUAGGAUUUUUUCUCGGGCCAGGCUUGGACAAAAUUUCAGGCCCAUAUUUUGGGCUAGGCCGGGCCCAGGCCUAGGACGCGGGCCAAAAAAAAAUUUAGGCCUGGCCCAGCCCAUGAUCACCUUUAGUGCUAAUCCUUCCUUGUACGUAACCGACGCCCGAACUCGUGCUUAUGUGGCACGGCACAUAGGCUACUUUGUUGACCUAUGGUUUGACCGACGAUCAACUCACAUUUUCUGUUAAAAUUGGGCUAAUUUAUUAAAAAAUUGUACCGUUAACGGUGUCAAUCCAAAAAAAAAAAGGUUAAUGGCUCAAACCCAAAAACUCAAAAAAUUGAGUGUUUUUUCGACAAUUAUGCGAAAUUCUUUGUUAAAUUUGUUGGUUUGAUAUUCUUUCAAAAGUACAUUAUAAUGCCUUUUUUUUUAACCCAAACCCAAACUUUUGAAAUCAAAUACUAUUUUGAGAGGGAAAAUAUUUGAUUUUUUUUUUUGUUCAAUUGCUUGAAUCUGGUUGGAUAGUUUCUAUUUUCGUUUUAUUAAAUUUCCUUUUUCUCUGUUUGAAGGCGACUUUAAAGAAAAGAGUAACAUGCGAAGGAAUUGCAUUGGACUUUGCAAAGAUCAUAAAACACACAUUAAAAAUAUGUAUUAUUAGUUCUGUUGGACUUAAAGAUUUUGGGUUGUAACACUAGUAGAAAUUAUAUAAAGAAAGAUAUUGAAUGUUAUGGGAUUGGGUUUGGGUUAUUUUAAAUCUAUAUUCAGAUUAAUGUUAUUUUAAAAUCGAAUAAUUUUGAGUUUAAAUCAUUCAAAGUUGUUGAUCGGAUUUUAUAAAGAUAAAAAAACAUAUUGAAAAUAUGUAAUAUUAAUUGGAUUAUUUUAAACUAUGACAUAAAUACUUGAGUCUCAAAAUAAACACUAGCUCAAUAAAACGCAUAUGAUAAUUUAGAGUACUGUAAUAAAAUACAUAUUGAUAAUUCAGAUAUUACAUUAAACAUUUUUAAACAUACAUGAGACAAUUGUGGUAAAGCUGGCUAUGGUAAUUUUAUGGUAUCGGAUCCAUUACUGCAUAGGCCGUAAAAUAAGUUGGAACAAUUUUGGGGAGUUCCAAAGGUAUGGGAUGGCCCCGGUCUUCCAUAACAAAUAAACAUCUCCCCGAGUAGUAGAACUCUAGUUCUUCUGUGUUUACUGCAUGAAAUUUGUGGAGAUGCUCCUAUAAGUCGGAAAACUAUGUCCGCAACUUGUCGGACCGUAUAGGUGGAUCUAGGUGUGAGUCCCAUAGCUAAAUCCCAAAAUUCAUUAAAACAAAUAAGAGACAAUAAAGUAUAUUAAACACAAAUCUGAAUGUGAAGAAAAAAUAAAAACAAUUUAUUCGAUAUACCCGGAUCUAAAUUUGUCCUAAGUUGUAUGGCCGAUUGGAAGUAUGCCAGAGGAUAUGGUGCAAAGUCGGAACAUGUGCCAUGUUUUGUCCAUUCGUUGUGCAAAAAGCUAAUGUCUAACUUUCCCAAUAUCAAGUUUGGCCAUAGUCGGGGCAAGUCUACCCAAAGAACUGGAUCACUUUUCAGCAAACUCUUUGAAAUUAAAAACAAAAAUCUGGUUAGAUGACAGAUAAUUUACUUAAUAGUUUUAGGCGAAGAAUGUACGUAUGCGUACUUCGAGUUUCUUCUUAUCUAGAUUAGGAUUCGGAUUGUUGCAAAGAUUACUUGGACCAUACUGGGUCACCGGCUUGUCAUUAGCAUCUUGUGCCCAAAUUCCAUGUAUUGUAAAUUCUGUUGGGAUAGGGGUUUUACAUCUCGAAGUAGAGCUGCAAACUGAUGGAGGCCAUUGAAGUGCCAGCUUGUAGAAGUGCGGAAUUGCUGGUUGCUGAGGUACUGCAAAUGCUACCCAUAAUGAAAAAUUGAUACAAUGCAUUUUUACAAAUUUACAAAUAAAAAGAGAACUACUCCAUAUAUAAAUAUUACAUGCAUGGAUGAUUGGGCUGAGAUUGGAUGAUUGUGCUUUGCGAGUAGCUGGUUUAUGAUCUCCUUUAUAAUCUUGGCGCACAUAUUUCACAAAAUUUUCAAAGUCCUGCAACCAUGAAAUAAAUAUUGAGGUUACUUAUCACAAAGUGUUACUUCACAAUCACACCAAGAGAGAAAUAAACAAACUCACUUGUCUGAGUGGCUGAUUAUUCACCACCACCCAUGGCACAUCUUCUUGAGGUGGCUUCAGAUGUGCAGUCUCGUUAGCAUAUUGCAGCAGAAGCUGCAUUUCAUUAAUUUGGAAAAUCAAUGUUAGAAAAAGCUAAGAAGUGUUAAUUAAAUACUAAGACAUGCAGCCAACCUUAUAUCCAAAUCCAGUAGUAUAGCAUUUGUUGAUUAUCUCCUCAUUCAAUCUCAGCUUUUCACUGCAAUUUUUCCACAGUGCUUCAACGGGCCCCCCCUUUAAGCUUUGUUGCUCUGUGCAGCGAAUGAAUUCCAAGUGCUCUUUCUGCACCACAGUAGAGUAAUUAAACACGAGUUGGAGAUGAGUACAAAUACUUAUGGCUCAUAGCAGUUACUGCAUCAGGCCAUAAAUGGAUGACACAACUAUGUAUAGUGUUUAAGUGACGUUCUUCUUCUCCAUGUUGCACAUUAUCGCAAAAACUAUAAUUAGUUAUAACACCAAAAAGAACUAGAACUUCAUUAGUUAAUAAUGAUAAUACAUUAAAAUGAAGAACGGAGUAGUAAACCUGGCAAUGGAUUUCAGCAUUGCCCCAAGGGACCAAUCUUAGAUUGGUAAUGGUAUGGAGGUCAGUGCGGAAGACCUUGACUAGGCUAUUGGAGAUAAGCGAGAAUAUUGCAAGAGCAGCCAGAAUAUAGAAGAUUAAUGGUUGAAGAUAAGCCAUUGUUUCAGUGGUAGCUUUUGCACAAUGCUAGACCUCCAUUGUGCAAGGCUUCUUAUAGUUGAGAAUUGGGAUGCUGAGUAUUGCUUUCUGUCACGUUCAGAAACCAUGAGACAAAUUUACAAAGUUAUCAUCUUUAAAAAAACAAUUAUACACCACUUUAAAAAAAAAUUAUUUACAUGAAAGCUUGUUUAUCUAUUUAUGUAUGAAUAUUGUCUAAACAUGAAAGGAGAAAUCUUAUUAGAUAAUAGAGUUUUAUAAUAACUUAUAAUUUAAAUUAAGUUAUUAACGUAUUUACUGAAUCAUUGGCCUUCUAAAAUGCUUUUAGAUAUCAAAUCCUCUUCGACUUGCAAUUUUUUUCUGCAGAAAACAAUAUCAACAUCUAAGCAAUCUUAUAGAUAUCUAAGCAACAAAAACCAAACAUAAACUGAACAAUUCUCCAAAUACAGAAACCAGGAAAUAGUUAACAUCUCAAACAUAUAACCCAAACAAUUAUAGCAAUAUUAAGAAGCUCACAACAAAAAAUUCCUAUUACAUCUUACACAUAUAUGUUCCAGCUCCACAUCCCUCUUCAUAUUCAGUAUCCAUUUCAUGCCUUCUUCAUAUUUAGUAUUCAUUUGAUGCAUCUCUCGCUGGUUGACGUAUUACAUGUUUCUCAAUAUUCUCUUGUAUUCCAUUGAUACGAACCAGGCUCUCUAAAUAAGCAUGAAGGGAGAUGGUGAACCGAAAAUGAUCUAGGUAAGUAUUAAUCUCAAGCUCCUUAAGCUCUUGGGUGGAGGCGUCAAAUAGGAGUACUUCAUCAUUUGUGUCUGUAAGAAACAAGUCACCAUUUUUUCCAAAUCCCAAUGGGUGUACAACUCCAGAAAUGGAUUGUUUAGUCCACACUCCUUCACUUGUAACCCAUAAAUCAAAAGACGUGUCAAUUCUUUCCGUUGGGUAAACAAUAGCACCAAGUGAUCCAUUAAACACCAACAGAUUAACAUAGUAUUCUGGGAAAGACCCAACGAAUUCUGGGAUAGGUAAAAUUGAGAACUUCUCAUUCCCCAUGUCAAAUGAAAGAAUUAGUCCUCUAAAAUCAAGAUAUGCCCGUCUCUGUUUUCAUAUAGCAAAUUCCGUCUACAUAAUUAUUUCCCAAAGUUGUUCCAGUUGGUUUAUAAUCAGGACAUGGAAUUUCCUUCCAGGAAUUACUUCUAAGAGAAUACAACUCAACUUGGUACAUAAAAUGAGAAUGUGGAUAUUGUUCUUCACUAUUAACAAAAGUAAGAGUAACAAAUCGUAUGACUUUGUAGUCAUCAGUUUUAGAAUCAAACCCAAAAGAAGCGUGGUUAAAUUCAACGUGAUCUAAAGUAAGGUAGGUUUCUUCGAAUGGGGAAAAAUAUGGAGGGCGUUGGAUUGAAGAUGGUGGAAGGAUUUUAAACUCUCUGGUUGAUGGGUUCCAAAUGGCAGCCUUAUCCUUUGAAGGAUCAAGUAAACACAACAAUCCAUGACAAGCACCAUAAACAGAGGGGCGAUCAUUCUUAAAAAAGGGCAAGUGAAUGUUUUGUUUUACUAUAUAAUUUUGAUAUUUUUCAUUUGAAAGUUGAGAGAAAUAACGUUGGAAGGUGUUACCAUCACAGCGACUAAGCAGUAGAUUAAGGUUGUUGUUUUCAAGGUUGUUGUGAUAAUUAUUGGAAAUGAAAUGAGGAGUUUGAAAAGAAGAACACCAAUACUUACAAACACAGUUGAAGCGAGUAAGGGAUUUAACUGGAAGCUUUGACAGAAUUCCCAUAACCAAAGCUUCUGGCAAUUCAAAUCUUGGCCUCUGCAUCUUGCUAUUUUGAUUUUCUUUGUAAUUGGGUAAGAGGAAUGAAUAAGCAAGCAAAAUGGGAGUUGGUAUGGUCCAAACCUUAACCAGGAAGCAAAGAAGCAUAAAAGGUAAGCAUUUGAUAGGUUAUAAAAAUUAUAUGGAAUUUAGGAAAAUUUACUUAUUUGCAUUUGUAUCCAUGUGAGGAAGGAUUAAGAUCAAAUAUAAUAUAAUACAUACUUUUUGAAUUUAAUCCCCAAUUUUUAAAAGAUUAAAUUUAAAGGAUAUCAC
rnacentral:lncRNA from 1 species